rnacentral:rRNA from 1 species
CACGAACCGUACGAACGUUAUUCGGAAUUACUGGGCUUAAAGGGUUUGUAGGCGGCCUUGUAAGUCAGGUGUGAAAGCCCCUCGGCUCAACCGAGGAACAGCGCUUGAUACUGCAAGGCUUGAGGGAGACAGGGGUAAGCGGAACUGAUGGUGGAGCGGUGAAAAUGCGUUGAUAUCAUCAGGAACACCGGUGGCGAAAGCGGCUUACUGGGUCUCUUCUGACGCUGAGGAACGAAAGCUAGGGUAGCGAACGGGG